UACGUAGGGUGCAGGCGUUAAUCGGAAUUACUGGGCGUAAAGGGCGCGUAGGCGGUGCUCUAAGUCAGGCGUGAAAGCCCUGGGCUCAACCCGGGAAUUGCGCUUGAUACUGGAGCGCUUGAAUCCAGGAGAGGUUGGUGGAAUUCCCAGUGUAGAGGUGAAAUUCGUAGAGAUUGGGAAGAACACCGGUGGCGAAGGCGGCCAACUGGACUGGUAUUGACGCUGAGGCGCGAAAGCGUGGGGAGCAAACAGG
rnacentral:rRNA from 1 species